AGGUUUGGAAAUGCAUCAGCAAAAGCAUCUGAUGAAGAACUGGUACAAGAACAGAAUGAUGUUAAGCCGACACCUGGGCAUGGGCAUCAUAAACUCCCAUGUUGGGGUUAUCUUCUUUAAAGCUCACUGUUGAACAAGAACUCAUCCAUGGAGUUUCUGCCACCAAUGAUCACAACAACACAAUAAGAACAGGAACACUAUGGAGUACAGUUGCUCACAUCAUCACUGCAGUCUAAUCUUUCAUGUACGUAUUUGUACGUAGUUUCUAUAUUUUAUUAUAUUAUCUCAUCAAUUUUCUCUUUUGGGUGUGGGAUUUAGAUACAUAACCAGAUACAAAAUUUGGGUGUAGGAUUCAAAUAAGUCUGCUUCUCUGGUAUUUGUCCCUACUUCUUGCUCUGCAUGACUGUUGUUUGUCUUGUGUGUGCUCUCUAUGUGUGCGUGUGAUGUGUUCCAAAAUCACGAACAACUAAUACUACAAAAAAUUAGAGAAAUUAAAUAGUAAAUUGUUGAAAGCUAAGGAUAAAAACACAAAGAGGGAAAUCCAUAAAAACUUAGGAUUCUUUCAAAAGAAUAAGGAAAAAGGCAAUAACUUGUUGUGACAAAUGUAAUUAAAAAUUCAUUUCUCAUCCUAGCAACUCUCAUAGGUUCAUCAUCAAGAAAAUUAGAUGGAAUUUCAUUUGUUUUAGUCAUUAUUGAUGAAGCUGCUCAGGCCUAGAGAUUGCUUGUUGGAUUGCUCUUUUCAAGGGUUCAAGGUGCUUACUUUCAGGGGAUCAUUUACAACUUCCUCCAACAUUUCGAAGUGUUGAAGCUGAAAAAAAAAAGGGAUUAGGAAACACUCUUUUUAAACGCCUUGUAGAUUUAUAUGGAGAUGACGUCAUGUCUAUGCUGACUGUGCAAUAUAGCAUGCAUGAACUUAUAAUGACUUGGUCUUCUAAAGAUCUUUACAACAAUAAGACUAAAGCUCAUGCAAGUGCUGUUCGACAUACCCUAUAUGAGCUUGUAGGUGUUGAGAAGUCUUCUUCUUCCACUGAACCUACUCUUCUUCUCAUAGACAUUGCAGGGUGAGAUAUGGAAGAAAAGAAGGAUGAAGAAGAAAGCAUAUUGAAUGAAGGUGAAGCCGAGAUUGCUAUAGCACAUGCAAGAAGGUUGAUUCAAAUAUUAGCAUAUGCCAUAAAAACCAAAUAUGUAUAUUUAUUAAACUUGCAUCAUGUUUUGUAAUUAAAAUUAACUUAUUUAUCAAAAUACUCUCAUUUAUUUA